rnacentral:rRNA from 1 species
GGGGAAUUUUGGACAAUGGGGGCAACCCUGAUCCAGCCAUCCCGCGUGUGCGAUGAAGGCCUUCGGGUUGUAAAGCACUUUUGGCAGGAAAGAAACGGCGCAGGCUAAUACCUUGCGCAACUGACGGUACCUGCAGAAUAAGCACCGGCUAACUACGUGCCAGCAGCCGCGGUAAUACGUAGGGUGCAAGCGUUAAUCGGAAUUACUGGGCGUAAAGCGUGCGCAGGCGGUUCGGAAAGAAAGAUGUGAAAUCCCAGAGCUUAACUUUGGAACUGCAUUUUUAACUACCGAGCUAGAGUGUGUCAGAGGGAGGUGGAAUUCCGCGUGUAGCAGUGAAAUGCGUAGAUAUGCGGAGGAACACCGAUGGCGAAGGCAGCCUCCUGGGAUAACACUGACGCUCAUGCACGAAAGCGUGGGGAGCAAACAGGAUUAGAUACCCUGGUAGUCCACGCCCUAAACGAUGUCAACUAGCUGUUGGGGCCUUCGGGCCUUGGUAGCGCAGCUAACGCGUGAAGUUGACCGCCUGGGGAGUACGGUCGCAAGAUUA